rnacentral:lncRNA from 1 species
GCUCUUACUCCACCUCUGAAGUCUUUUAUGACAGGAGCUUGGUUGCAGGUUUACACCUUUCUCCACUGGAAUGCUGAUGAGGUGACAGAGAGGUUCUUUACUGAAGACAAGGACUCAGCAGAACACUUGCCAAGGCAGAGAAGGAGGGAAAUAUCUGACUUUUGAGUGUAACUAGAAGACCAAAUGAGGAAAAAUGGAUGCAAGGCAAAGGCAGUGCCCUGAACCCUUCCUCUGCAGUGACCUCUUCAAAGACCUCAGCCAUGAAGAGAAGUGAAGCUAAAAGGUAAGGUUACACAAAUGGGAUGUCGACUUUGAGAAACUAUGGUUAGGGUUAGAAUCAGGGUUAUGGUUAUACUUACAGUUAGGUUUGGGGUUAUACUCAUGUUUGGGGUUAGGGUUAGGAUUAGGUUUAG